AGAAUCAACGCUGGCGGCGUGCCUAACACAUGCAAGUCGAACGAGAAAGUGGAGCAAUCCAUGAGUAAAGUGGCGCACGGGUGAGUAACACGUGACUAACCUACCCUUGAGUGGGGGAUAACCUAGGGAAACCUGGGCUAAUACCGCAUAAUACCUUCGGGUCAAAGGAGCAAUUCGCUUAAGGAGGGGGUCGCGGCCGAUUAGUUAGUUGGCGGGGUAAUGGCCCACCAAGACUGUGAUCGGUAUCCGGCCUGAGAGGGCGGCACGGACACACUGGAACUGAAACACGGUCCAGACUCCUACGGGAGGCAGCAGUGGGGAAUUUUGCGCAAUGGGGGAACCCUGACGCAGCAACGCCGCGUGGAGGAUGAAGUCCCUUGGGACGUAAACUCCUUUCGAUCGGGACAUUAUGACGGUACCGGAGAAGAAGCCCCGGCUAACUUCGUGCCAGCAGCCGC
rnacentral:rRNA from 1 species